AAAAAAUUUAUGAGGCAUGUAAGUAACAGGAAAAUAGAACCCACACACCAUGGAAAAAAAGAGGUGACAGAAACUGCCUGUGGAAAUGACCAGAUAUCAGAUUUCACAGAAAAAGACUUCAAAAUACCCAUUAUAAAAAUGUCCAAGUAUGAAGACAUUCACAGGUGAACAAAAACUGAGAGAAUUCAUCACUACAGACCUGCCCUCCGAGAUAUACUACAGGAAGUUCCUCAAGCUCACUUACAAGGACACCAGACACCAACUCAAAUCUACAUGAAGAAAUAACAUCAAUAAAGCUGCACCAAAAUAAAGUUACAUCUUACACAGAUGGCUUCUUUGAGUCAAUGAAAUAUGACAUGACAGAAGUGGCAUUGCAGAUUACUGGGAAAAAGGAGAAGGAUACACACAGCAGCCAGGAUUGCAAACUAAAACCCCACGGGCAAUGACUGCGACAAACUAGAUGACAAGAUCCCACAAACCCUGAAACCCCAGUGGAUGGAGACACACCCACGAGACCUGCAGCCGCCGCCGCUGUGUCAGAGGAAGCUGGAGGGAGUAAUGGCCCUCCUCACAAACCUAAGGACCCCAGAUAACGACAGUGAGUCACGGAAAAGCCAGCGGGCCAAUCGGAGAAGGGCGCCCGUCGCCAGGAGGGAUCUGCGUACUCCGCCAGCAGCUGGGGACAAGGGGCGGACCCGGCCUAGGAAACCCUCAGAACUGACCAGCCCAGGCUCCCAUCCAGGACGAACCCCAACUGAGGAGUAACUUCUGGAAGAGAAUCCAAAUGGAGCAGGUCAGGAAAAGAGAGAAAAGAAAAAAAGAGGCUCCCCAUAAAAGUACAGAACGGAGUCAGAAGAUGUCUAAGUGAGGUGCCAUAGUUCUUUACUACUUAACAAAAACAGCAGAGAGGGCGCUGUGAAGUUGUGACAUCAUAACCACUCUUCAGUUAGACCUCCUGUGUGAAAGUCCCGGAAAUCUAAUCUCAUGUACACAUAAGUAACAGAAAAGGAUUGAAGUCAAAUCCCACACCGUUAUUCAAGGAAAAAGUAAGGAGAGUAACAUCCCUGCAGACAAUAAAAGCAGGUCAGGGAAACGCACAGGUGCAAACUGUCG
rnacentral:lncRNA from 1 species